AUGGCGGCUAACGCGACCACGAACCCGUCUCAACUCCUGCCACUAGAGCUUGUGGACAAGUGUAUAGGAUCAAGAAUUCACAUUGUGAUGAAGAGUGAUAAAGAAAUCGUGGGUACACUUCUAGGAUUUGAUGACUUUGUCAGUAUCCUUUUUAUAAGUGGUAAUGAUGUAGUGUUUUAAAGAUGUAUUAAGUCUUUGUGGUUAUUACAUUAAUAAUUUUGUUUUCCAGGAACUUGGUAGCAUUUUAAGAGGCGUGUUUGAUGAUAGGGUUUUUGCCAACAACAAACCUUUGAAUUUGCACUACCAUAAUGUUGAACAUAUUUGAAACCAAACAAAAACAUACACCAGAAUAAAGUCAACCUUGUUUAUUUUCUUAACGUCGAAUUUCAGAUAUGGUGUUGGAAGAUGUCACAGAGUU
rnacentral:lncRNA from 1 species